UACGUAGGCAGCAAGCGUUGUUCGGAGUUACUGGGCGUAAAGGGUGCGUAGGCGGUCCUAUAAGUAUGGUGUGAAAUCUCCCGGCUUAACUGGGAGGUGCGCUAUAGACUGUGGGACUAGAGUGUGGGAGAGGAAAGUGGAAUUCCUGGUGUAGCGGUGAAAUGCGUAGAUAUCAGGAGGAACACCGGUGGUGUAAACGGCUUUCUGGACCAUAACUGACGCUGAGGCACGAAAGCGUGGGUAGCAAACAGG
rnacentral:rRNA from 1 species